GAUGAACGCUGGCGGCGUGCCUAAUACAUGCAAGUCGAGCGAACAGAUAAGGAGCUUGCUCCUUUGACGUUAGCGGCGGACGGGUGAGUAACACGUGGGUAACCUACCUAUAAGACUGGGAUAACUUCGGGAAACCGGAGCUAAUACCGGAUAACAUUUGGAACCGCAUGGUUCUAAAGUGAAAGAUGGUUUUGCUAUCACUUAUAGAUGGACCCGCGCCGUAUUAGCUAGUUGGUAAGGUAACGGCUUACCAAGGCGACGAUACGUAGCCGACCUGAGAGGGUGAUCGGCCACACUGGAACUGAGACACGGUCCAGACUCCUACGGGAGGCAGCAGUAGGGAAUCUUCCGCAAUGGGCGAAAGCCUGACGGAACAACGCCGCGUGAGUGAUGAAGGGUUUCGGCUCGUAAAACUCUGUUAUUAGGGAAGAACAAACGUGUAAGUAACUGUGCACGUCUUGACGGUACCUAAUCAGAAAGCCACGGCUAACUACGUG
rnacentral:rRNA from 1 species